AUGAAGGCAGGCAAGGAUAACAUGACAAGUAGCAUUGUAAUCAAGAAAUUUCAACGUAAACACACCUGCACUAAAGCUUGGGAUCUCAAAGUGUUGAGUGCAGCUUUUCUUACAAGAAAGUUCACGGAAGAGUUUAGAGAUGAUGAGAAAAUGUCCUUGAAGAAAUUCCAAGACAAAGUGCAGGUUGAAUACAACAUGAUCCCAACCAGAUUCAAAUUGGGAAGGGCAAGGAGAGAAGCUGUUAAGGGGAUUAGAGGUGAAGAUGAUGACCAAUUCAAAUGGUUGUGGGAUUAUGGGCAGGAGCUUAGAAGAACUAACCUAGGCAACAAGUUUUUCCUUUGCACAAAGGAAGUGAUAGAUGAAAAAACUAAAUUGCCACAAGAUCAUUUCUCAACUUUGUACUGGUCAAUAGAUGCUUGCAAGAGAGGGUUUCUUGCUGGUUGUAGGCCCAUAAUAUUUCUCGAUGGUUGUCACAUUAAGACUAGGUACAAAGGGAAUCUUCUUACGGCUAUGGCUAUUGACCCCAAUGACUGUAUAUUUCCAAUAGCUUUUGGCUUGUGUGAGGUGGAGUGUACGAGCAGCUGGGAGUGGUUCUUAGCAUCACUCAAGGAUGAUCUCAAUAUAUGCAACACAUACCCUUACACUAUAAUGAGUGAUAAGCAGAAGUUAUAUAUUGGAGGCAAGAGAACUACCAAUGGUGUCAAUGUUAAAGAACAUUCAUGA
rnacentral:rRNA from 1 species